rnacentral:rRNA from 1 species
GACGAACGCUGGCGGCGUGCUUAACACAUGCAAGUCGAACGGAAAGGCCCUGCUUUUGUGGGGUGCUCGAGUGGCGAACGGGUGAGUAACACGUGAGUAACCUGCCCUUGACUUUGGGAUAACUUCAGGAAACUGGGGCUAAUACCGGAUAGGAGCUCCUGCUGCAUGGUGGGGGUUGGAAAGUUUCGGCGGUUGGGGAUGGACUCGCGGCUUAUCAGCUUGUUGGUGGGGUAGUGGCUUACCAAGGCUUUGACGGGUAGCCGGCCUGAGAGGGUGACCGGGGGAUGAGGUGGGGGCGGGCUACGCGCCAGAUUGGGAGUGGGAUAGGGGCCAGACGAAGAAGGGGGGGAAGAGUGGGGAAUAUUGAACGAUGGGCGGAGGAGUGAUGCAGCAGGGGCGCGGGCGAGGUGAGGGACUUGGUGUUGUAAACCGCGGCCGCCUGAGAAGAAGCGGGAGGGACGGGAAGGGGAAAAGAAGAACGGGAUAAAGACGGGCCAGCAGCGGCGUAAUAAGGGGAAGAGCCCGCGUCUAAAC